AUUAACCUUCUUAACAGAGCUUUCAAAAUCAAGAGAACAUUAUAACGAGCUUGCAUAUAACAGUUGAUUAAAUACUCACUCUAACUGCAACAAUAGCAGAUCUAACCGAUUUUUAACAUGUUAACAUUUCUUCACUUUGAACGGAUGGAUUUCAAUUACAAAGGCAUAGUUCACUAAAAUACAACACAAAACCAACAUAGCACAUUCCCUAACUGAACUAACUAAAUUUCAAUACAAAGUUAACUAACAGCUAAGCACCUAACUGAUUCAAUAACAUUACAACUAAGUCAAUCACAAUUACACAAUUAACCUUAACUCCAUAACUAACUAAUUCUAACUAAAAUCUCUAGCAGUGUGAUAACAGAGUUUUUUCCUAACUAACUUACACUGAACUAAAAUUAACAGAGUUAGCUCUGUUAAAUCUCCAAUCUCUAUAGAUUCAUCACAUCCCCAAUCAUUGAAUGGGACCAAUGACUUCACCAAUUCAUCUCUAAAUUUUCAUCUCCCUCAUUCACUCUCUCUCCCACCAAACUCUCACAUAGAGCUCUAUUUGGCAGCCAUUGAAGCUUCAAUUGUGCUUGAGCUAAACCUCAAUUUCACUGCAUAUUCCCCUCAUACACGAGAUCCUCACUCUCUCUACACUUUCUCAUGCAUCACAAGGCAAAGAAACAAGAAGCAUAACAAGCAUUAGCAACGAAUAAGAAGGACCGGGAAGAAGAAUGAGUAAGGAGAACAAAUCAAACUCGGGGAAGAACUCACCUUUGAUUUUCCUUUGGAUUGCAUUUUUUAUCGACAAAAUUCACCCGGACAAAGCUCUGUCUCGCAAGUACGUACGCUCCUUCGAAGCUUUCCACAUUGCUCAAUAUGCUAUGUUGAUCUUUCAUAGAUUUAGGGAUUUAUUUUAGCAUCUCUUAUGUUUGUAACAGUUCGAAGUAUAGAGGAGAGAUGAGGAUGACGAGAUAUUGUUUUGAUUGUUGGAGAUUCUGGAGAAUGCGAAGAUGGUACAAACAGAGGAAUGCGAACAUGAUAUGAUUUCGUUUUCAGGUGUGAUUGAUGAGUUCAAUUGAAGGUUCCGUUUUAGUUUGCAAGGGAUUUUAGAAGUGAUAUAAAUCGAUUUUGACUGAGUCUAGGUUAGGCCUUGUAUUGUUGUCAUUGGCUGAUAUCUAUUGGGCAAGGCACAUAUGGGCUUAGAGAACUUUCAUUCCCAUACCCCCUACACGACCUCUAUACUCCCUCUAGAAAGCACAACCACAAUUGUGGGCUCAGUGGCCUCUUGGCCCACUGAUUUUGCUUCUGCACUCCACCAUGCAGUGUUGCACCCUGG
rnacentral:lncRNA from 1 species